CCGGGUCCUUAAUCCAGAUCGCCUCUUCUUAUACAGAUAUUUCUAAUGGCCAGACUUGAGAUGCACAUUAAGUUGUGUGGAUUUCUCAGCACGUCUUCUGGAACUAAAUUCUUUGCCCUUUUUCUUCUUUUAUUUUAUUUUAUUUUUCUUUUUGGAUGGCAGAGCCAGAAAAAAAAAUGCUGCAUGUGAACUACAUCUUAGGGUGUGUGUGCUGGGGUGUGUGUAUGAUGAAUUUCUGGAUUGGAUCUCAAUGGUAAAAAGUAGUUUGGCAUUUUUAAAAAGGGUCUCUAAGUAAAUUAACAUAGAGCGCUGGGUUGACUGAUCUCUGAAUCUCUCUACAUCUCACGGAGACCUCACUACAAAGUGAGGGAGUGUGUGUAGGAGGAAAAGGAGAAAGGCCAUAGAGGGACUUAGCAGGGAAGGAAGAGUAUGAUAUUAAACGGCAUGGGGUCUAAGUUUUGGAGUAUAUAUUUUUCUGAUAUUGCAAUUAAAGUAAAAUUAAAAAGAAAAGACUCCACCUUUGCUCUGAAGGGAUUGGUUAUGUAAAUAUGGAAGGGAUUUCCUGGAGAAUACAGCUUUCUACUGUAUGGUUAAUUAAAUAAUCACUCAAAAGCUUCCAACGUGACGCUUCUGUCGUAAUCCAAUCAGGUUACAUAGGUCCUAAACAAGAAAGAUAUUUUCCACAUCUGGAAGUCAGCAAUUUAGCAAGUACUGCACAUUAUUAACCGAUUCAGAGCCCACUUCCCAGGGGAAUUUUUUUUGAAGUUUAAGUGUUCUUAACCAAUGCUCUGCUGUUUUGUUAAUCAAAAAGCUGGUUUACACUGCACGUAAUUGGAACUAAUAUAGAAGUAAAUAAAGACAGCCAAAUUUGA
rnacentral:lncRNA from 1 species